GGGGGCGUAGUUAAGUCGGUUAUAACGCCGGCCUGUCACGCCGGAGGCCGCGGGUUCGAGUCCCGUCGCUCCCGCCA
rnacentral:tRNA from 2 species